UACGAUUGAAUUUAAAACUGUUCAGGUGGCCGAUCAGCUCGGACAAAUGCUGCUCUUCGGUGCCGCAUUAGAGCUCUCUGACGGGAUCCUCCAGAUUCUUUACUUGCACCAUUGUAAUGUGUCGGCUAAUGAGAGUUUGAUUGGAUUUGUUACUAUAAGGCCCACGCCAACGUCACGCAAAAACCAAUAUGGAGGAAAACGCGGGACACAACUUUCAGGGGUGGUCAUAAAUUUUAUCGAUAGUAUUGAUUGCUGUUCAAGCUAUCGAUAGGACAAUAAGCCGCUAACUUAACUUCCACUGAAUCCAAGCUGUGCAUAUCAAUUUUCUGAAGAAGAAACAAUACAGGGCCAUCGACCAUAAUGAAUAGAGAGACUCUGCACCGACGACAUCGUAUUGUGCGACGGCGUCUUAGGGGACAUGGGCCGCCUCUGCAUGAACGAGCUGUACUCGGACGUGUUGUUCCUUGAGGAGGAUCAUGAUCUUCACAUAUGGAUAUAAAUUAUAUAUUAAUAUUUGUAUUAAAACAACACUCCGAACAUCAUCAUCAUCU